GGAGUCGGCCAGACAGUCGCUGGGGUGCAAACCCCGGAGGAAAGUCCGGGCUCCACAGGGCAGGGUGCCAGGUAACGCCUGGGCGGCGUGAGCCGACGGAAAGUGCCACAGAAAAGAUACCGCCGAUGGCUGCACCUUCUGCCUCGCAGGGGUGUGGGCACAGGUAAGGGUGAAAUGGUGCGGUAAGAGCGCACCGCGCCGGUGGCAACACCGGUGGCAGGGUAAACCCCACCCGGAGCAAGACCAAAUAGGGGAACAUUCGCGCGGCCCGUGCGGUUCCCGGGUAGGUCGCUUGAGGCACGCGGCGACGCGUGCCCCAGAUGAAUGGCUGUCCACGACAGAACCCGGCUUACCGGCCGGCUCCUUUU
rnacentral:RNase_P_RNA from 1 species